GAACUGCGAUAAGUAAUGUGAAUUGCAGAAUUCAGUGAAUCAUCGAGUCUUUGAACGCACAUUACGCCCCCUGGCAUUCCGGGGGGCAUGCCUGUCCGAGCGUCAUUGCUGCCCUUCAAGCCCGGCUUGUGUGUUGGGUCGUCGUCCCCUCCGGGGGACGGGCCCGAAAGGCAGCGGCGGCACCGCGUCCGGUCCUCGAGCGUAUGGGGCUUUGUCACCCGCUCGAUAAGGACCGGCCGGGCGCCAGCCGGCGUCUCCAACCUUUUUUUCUCAGGUUGACCUCGGAUCAGGUAGGGAUACCCGCUGAACUUAAGC
rnacentral:misc_RNA from 1 species